GCCUGGCUAGCAGUCGGUAGAGCAUGAGACUCUUAAUCUCAGGGUCGGGGGUUCGAGCCUCCCGUUGGGCG
rnacentral:tRNA from 1 species